GACAGAGGGUGCAAACGUUGUUCGGAAUUACUGGGCGUAAAGCGCGUGUAGGCGGCCCUGCAAGUCGGAUGUGAAAUCCCACGGCUCAACCGUGGAAGUGCAUUCGAAACUGCAGGGCUAGAGUCCUGGAGAGGAAGGUGGAAUGCUUGGUGUAGAGGUGAAAUUCGUAGAUAUCAAGCGGAACACCGGUGGCGAAGGCGGCCUUCUGGACAGUGACUGACGCUGAGACGCGAAAGCGUGGGGAGCAAACAGGAUUAAGAA
rnacentral:rRNA from 1 species